rnacentral:rRNA from 1 species
UACGGGGGGGGCAAGCGUUGUUCGGAAUUACUGGGCGUAAAGCGCUCGUAGGCGGAUUUGUAAGUCAGGGGUGAAAUCCCGGGGCUCAACCUUGGAAUUGCUUGUGAUACUGUGAGUCUCGAGUCCGGUAGAGGUGGGUGGAAUUCCUAGUGUAGCGGUGAAAUUCGUAGAUAUUCGGAGGAACACCGGUGGCGAAGGCGGCUCUCUGGACCGGUACUGACGCUGAGGCGCGAAAGCUAGGGGAGCAAACGGG